rnacentral:lncRNA from 1 species
UGUCAACCUUGGCUUCAAGACAUGACUAUAUAAAGCUCAAAGCAAUCUGAUCUAACCUUGCAGAUGUUGCUUUCAGCAGACAGACAAGAGAGCUCCUGAGAUCCUUUCCAAAGAGAAUUGCUCCUCUGAGUAGUCUCUCUAGAAUCAAGAUGGACAGCAUUUGAAGAUCAAAUUUCAUGGAGAACUUAACAAAUAGUUCUACAAGAUGGAAAAGGAUGCUAGCACAAUGAAUUCAACCUUACAUUCUCCAUGAAGCAAUCAGGAAGAGUUUCCUUCAUAUUCCCCAAAAUUUAUGGCUGUAUCCUCCAUUGCUUCAACGGUCUUCUCAUAGAGUCUCAUAGAGGUCAAACAAUUUUAGCAAAGUCUCUGAGCAUAUUGAUUAACUUGAAAGCAAAACUCAAGACACAACUGACCUGGGCCAGAACAACUACCUAGCAGAUCAGUGAACACUCAGUAUCUCACACCGAAAUCAUCAGAAACCCUGAAACAAGAUUUUGGAUAAGAAUCUUCCACUAAACUAUUUCAGCUCUCAGAAAAUGCAUUAUCAAAUGUUCCUGUUGAGGAAUAAAUGUGAAGACCAUUGUCUCUGUCUACA